rnacentral:lncRNA from 1 species
UGAUAUAUUCUGUUCAUAUCUUUCUCUCUCCAUAGUCAAAAAAACCCAUUGAACAAUGUUUCUAACCAUAUUGAGCAAACCCUAAACCAAAAAAAAUCCAAAAAUCUUCUGGCCACCCCUACUAGCCUAGGGGUAUCACACAUAUGUACUUUUUGACGAGUAUAGUGGCACCCAUCGUGGCUACCUAUAAACUUUAUCUAGGCCACACUUUGCAUUAUCAUCACCAUUAUGGCACUCACUAAAGCAUCCACCUGUGGUCUCAAC